GCCAAAGUGGUGAAACUGGUAUACACGCACGACUCAAAAUCGUGUGCCGAAAGGCGUGGGGGUUCGAAUCCCCCCUUUGGCA
rnacentral:tRNA from 1 species